rnacentral:rRNA from 1 species
GACGAACGCUGGCGGCGUGCUUAACACAUGCAAGUCGAACGGAAAGGCCCUGCUUUUGUGGUGUGCUCGAGUGGCGAACGGGUGAGUAACACGUGAGUAACCUGCCCUUGACUGUGGGAUAACUUCAGGAAACUGGGGCUAUUACCGGAUAGGAGCUCCUGUUGCAUGGGGGGGGUUGGAAAGUUUCGGCGGUUGGGGAUGGACUCGCGGCUUAUCAGCUUGUUGGUGGGGUAGUGGCUUACCAAGGCUUUGACGGGUAGCCGGCCUGAGAGGGUGACCGGCCCCAUUGGGCCUGAGAUACGGCCCAGACUCCUACGGGAGACAGCAGUGGGGAAUAUUGCACAAUGGGCGGAAGCCUGAUACAGCAGCGCCGCGUGCGGGAUGACGGCCUUCGGGUUGUAAACCGCUUUCGCCUGUGACGAAGCGUGAGUGACGGUAAUGGAUAAAGAAGCACCGGCUAACUACGUG